GGGGACCGCAAGGCCUGGCGCUAAUAGAUGAGCCCAAAUCGGAUUAGCUAGUUGGUGAGGUAACGGCUCACCAAGGCGACGAUCCGUAGCUGGUCUGAGAGGACGACCAGCCACACCGGAACUGAGACACGGUCCGGACUCCUACGGGAGGCAGCAGUGGGGAAUAUUGGACAAUGGGCGAAAGCCUGAUCCAGCGACGCCGCGUGGGUGAAGAAGGCCUGCGGGUUGUAAAGCCCUUUCGGUGGGGAUAAAAAGCCUUGGUUUAACACACCAGGGUCUUGAUCUAACCCAAGAAAGAAGCACCGGCUAACUCUGUGCCAGCAGCCGCGGUAAUACAGAGGGUGCGAGCGUUAAUCGGAAUUACUGGGCGUAAAGCGCACGUAGGUGGCUUGGCAAGUCGGUUGUGAAAUCCCCGGGCUUAACCUGGGAACUGCAUCCGAGACUGCUUUGCUAGAGUAUGGGAGAGGGAAGUGGAAUUUCCGGUGUAGCGGUGAAAUGCGUAGAUAUCGGAAGGAACAUCAGUGGCGAAGGCGACUUCCUGGACCAAUACUGACACUCAAGUGCGAAAGCGUGGGGAGCAAACAGGAUUAGAUACCCUGGUAGUCCACGCCAUAAACGAUGAGAACUGGAUGUCGGGAGGGUCUGCCCCUCGGUGUCGUAGCUAACGCGUUAAGUUCUCCGCCUGGGGAGUACGGCCGCAAGGUUGAAACUCAAAUGAAUUGACGGGGACCCGCACAAGCGGUGGAGCAUGUGGUUUAAUUCGAUGCAACGCGAAGAACCUUACCUGGUCUUGACAUCCUAGGAAUCCCGCAGAGAUGUGGGAGUGCCUUCGGGAACCUGGAGACAGGUGCUGCAUGGCUGUCGUCAGCUCGUGUCGCGAGAUGUUGGGUUAAGUCCCGCAACGAGCGCAACCCUUGCCCUUAGUUGCCAGCAUUUAGUUGGGAACUCUAAGGGGACCGCCGGUGACAAACCGGAGGAAGGUGGGGAUGACGUCAAGUCAUCAUGGCCCUUAUGACCAGGGCUACACACGUGCUACAAUGGUCGGUACAGAGGGUUGCCAAGCCGCGAGGUGGAGCCAAUCCCAGAAAGCCGAUCGUAGUCCGGAUCGCAGUCUGCAACUCGACUGCGUGAAGUCGGAAUCGCUAGUAAUCGCGAAUCAGCGAUGUCGCGGUGAAUACGUUCCCGGGUCUUGUACACACCGCCCGUCACACCAUGGGAGUUGAUUGCACCAGAAGUAGGUAGCCUAACCGCAAGGAGGGCGCUUACCACGGUGUGGUCAAUGACUGGGGUGAAGUCGUAACAAGGUA
rnacentral:rRNA from 1 species